GUGACCCUCACACCAGCUCCGGGGACCCGCAGCCUUAGCAACAGUAACUAGGGACACUACCCAAGGAGCCCCGCGGCAGCCAAGACUCCGCCUCCUCGUCCUAAUUGGUCGUGCCGGAGAGGGGAGGGCUAAGGCCCAGCUCUGCCCAAGACAGGCACCAGUGAAGUGAAAUCAGUGGUGAGAAUUCUGUCCCUCUCUUAAAAAAUGACCAAGUUGCUCAAGAGGCCUGAGGGUGAAAUGCUAACUCUGCUAGCUGCAGAUGGAAAUUUUAUGAAAGGUGCAGCCAGCAAGGU